CAAGGAGGUUACUGCUAGAUGUCUUAUAAGCCUCUGUGGAAAUUCUUUCAAAGUAGUAAGAGAUUUGAAAAACCAAACAUAUCAAAUGUAAAUAUUCAUAUGCCCUCUCUCAGCAGAGCACCUUGUCAGAAGACUUGUCGGUGACUGCUUUACUUUUGACCUGAACUGCCUGCUGCCAGACAGGUACAUCCAUAUCACCUGGAAGAAAGAUGAGCAGCGAGUGGCCAGGAUGAGAGGGCAGAGAAUAAACGUUUCUGUGAACUACCGCAACAGAGCCCGUGCGUUCCCGAACGGCAGCCUGACUCUGUGCCCCAUGCAAUGGGAGGACAAGGGCAAGUAUGUGGCGGAAAUAUUUGAUCAGGAUGGUGUGCAUUUGCAACAUGAAAUUAUUAACCUGGAACUGAACAAAAUGGAAACGUUUAAAGAAACCACAGAAUUUAUUGGUGGAUCCAUGUUCUUGAGCUUAACAGAGAUGAAGUUGAGACACUUCCAGGCAGUCUGGAAAAAAGAAAACACAGAAAUCGCUCGGAAAAAUGGCUUUCAUUUUUGGUACCAUGAGGACUACGUUAAGAGGUCUGAGAUCGUGUCUGAUUACAGUCUCAGACUAGACAGGAUUCAGGAAAGUGACCAUAGCAAUUAUUCUAUAGAAGUGAGUGACAGAGAUGGGAGAACAUUAUAUAAAAGCACCAUUCGUGUGAAAGUUGAGCAAAAGGAGACAUCCAGAAGAAAUUAUGUUCAAUUACUGUUCUACAGUCUCAUAACAUCACAGGCAGUUGUAAUUAUUAUUAUCUUGGUUGGGCUGAUAUGGCAUUUUAAGAAGUACAAAGACAAGUCAGUGUGGAUAAGAGUGUCAAGCUUUCGGCAUGUGAGUUCAAGCCUAACAGAGAGAGAUAAUCCUGAGAAACUUGAAGAAAUGGAUAAAAACAGUCCUUGUUCACAAAAUGAUGAAAACUCUAGUGUGCAGGGACUAGACGGUACAAACUCCACGGAGCAAAGAAGUGAAGGUUUACUGAGCAGCGACAAAGAGGCUAACCCAGCAAUAGCUGAAAGCUCCUACGCUCAGCAGACUACAUAUUUUCUUGCGUCCACAUUUCAAGGUAAUCAGAAGCAAAAGCAAAUGACCAAGGAGAAAGCUAAACUAGAGUAAAAUAUCAAAUAGGAAGGAAGAUGAUCCUCAACAGAAUUUCCCAUUGAAUUGUACUAUGGAUUGUAAUCGACCUUCAAGCUGGGGGGUUGCAGGGAGGGAAGUGCUACUGCCCAUGCAGGGCUGCUGCACUCAGUGCCUGGCCUGUGCUUAGGGAAGCAUGUUUGGUCAGUGCUCCCCCAUGCCGUAGUCAAGGACUGCACUGCCAGUGGAGCCAGAGCCCAGGCCCUCCUCUGCCUCUUGGGGUGCAGAGCUGGAGCUGGCCUCAUCUGAAAGAUGCAUCUGCCAAGAUUGCUGGCAGGUGCCAGAGCAGGCAGGAGUGAGCUGUCGGCCAGAGCCCUGCUCCCACCAGCUGAGUGCAGUAGAAAGGGAGUGGGUGAGGAAAAGCCCCAUUCCUGUGUUGCCCCCUCAGAGCAUGAGUGGGAUGUGCCAGGUUCCAGUGAAUUGUUGCCAGGUGCAAGAAACUCCUGAGAUGACCCCCUGACAUUGCAAACAGAAAUAUUAACUGCUGCUGAGGCCAUGCAGGGCUGUGAGGGGAGACAUGCCUUGGGAAGGUAGUGAGGCCCUGGUGCCCCCCCCACCGGCGUUGUUCCCUGGGGGCCGUGGAGAACUAGGGAGCGGUGAGCAGAGCUGACUGCGUGCAGGGGCUGUUCCCACCAGCCCAUGUCAGUGGUGGGAGCUGAGGGAUGUCCUGUGCUUGCAGGGUCUGUGGACAGGCCAAGCCCAGGAGGCUGCAUGCUGUGCCUCAGCCUUGCUGUAACCACAGGCACCUGCUCCUGCUUUGUGUGAGCGAGAGGCAGGAAGGAGUGGCAGAUAUAAAUAGAGAUGGUGCUGUGAGGGCUUGCUCCCAUCAGUGCUGUUCUGCAGGGCUGUACUUGCCCAGGGGUCUGUCACCUCCUUCAUUUCUAUAUAUCUGCUGAGGGCCUGGCUGGGGGUGAAGCGGUCCUGUGGGCAAGUGAAGCUGCAGGGGCACAUAUAGCGCAAGUGAUAGCUCAGGGAGGCUCCAGUGUCUCUGCUGGCAGUUGGUCAGCUGCCUCUAGCUCACCAGCUUCUUAGGUGUGGGGCUGAUGUGGACCCUCUCCCUCUAUGCUUCCCUGCUCCUGGAGGGUAGGAGGGAGAGGGAGGCCCUUUUCCUCUUUGACCACUUGGUGCCAGCCUUUGCCAGCUUCUGGCCCUGUCUGUGUCACCCGUCUGUACCAUAAUCUUUGUCCAGUCAGUGGUGUUAAGGAGAUUACUACUCAGCAGACUUUUCCUUCCAGAUGGAGAAAGACUCAAAUUGCCAGACCUCAAUAGUAUGAAAGCUGGAGAGCCUCCUGCUUCAGUUGGUGAAGUGUGUGUUGCCUCAGACUUUGAGAACAGCCCUCCAGGAUCUGAGGACAGCAUUCUUCCAGAAUUUGAUCACCCUCUUCCCCCAAUGUCUGAUGGGUGCCUUUCUCCAGAAUUUGAUCACUGCAGUCCUCCAGGGUCUGAGGAUUUGAAGGAAGAUGACUAUGUUGCUAUGCAUGAUAUAGUCUUUGUCUCUGCAGGAGCUGGAAAGGCACGGAAAUGGAGUGAAGAUGAGUUUACCUCGUAUGCUUCUGUCAAGUAGAAUGCAAAGGGACUUCCAGACGAUGAGUCUGGAGACUCAGUCUUCAGUUCUUCCCAUUCGAUUUGCCAGGAAAGACAUCUGCAGCAUUGAACUGAAAUUUGGACUCUCUCUUUCUCUCUUAGCAGGUUUUGAGCCAACCUUGAAAUUCUGCUGUUAGUUUCUCAUUUGGGUAAAUCUGAUUCUUUGUUCACUUUGAAGAUUUGGCUGGAAGCCUGAAGGGAAAUCUCUCUGUGGAUCAGUUUGUUUUCCACAGCGGGUGCCUAUCUCUUCCCUUUGUUUUGCUGAAGGUCUUCCAGGAUGACCCAUUAGGAGCCCCUUGGAAAGCAGGGGUGGGGGGGAAGGAAUUAUCCAGAGCCUCUCUUAUUUGCUUCCACUAGGAGGUGUCAUUGUAGAAAAGAGAAGGGCCUCGUGGAUUUCUGGAGGCCAGAUCAGGGCCCUGACCUCCAUCCUUGUCUCCUCCAGUGUGGAGGAUGCACCUGAGUGAAUGGUCAGGGGAAUAGCGCCAACACCACAGCAUCUCUGUGGACAUGGGCAUUUUAACCCUUUGUCUAAUACCUCAUGUCAAGAAAGCUGCAACUGAACUUGGUAGAUUUAGCAUAAAUUUCCCUCUGCUGUUUGGUUAGAAUAAUGUGCCACUUAGGUGGAAGUCAGCUGAAACUAUAUUAUGAGAAGGGAAUGGCACUGAAGAACAUGCAGCAGGUUUUACUUAGGGAUCUGCUAUUUUAGAAGAGGAAAAGGAAAAGGAAAGGAAAGAAACUAGAGCAUUGCUAGCAAAUGGGUUUAGCCGUAUAUGUAAUUGCCUUUAAUGAAUAGCCUUGGUAAUUAGAUGCAUUUUCUGCAAUGCCUGUAUUAAACUUAGUUAUCUUAACUGGUGUGUAAUUGUCUUCAUAGAUUGCUUUUAAAUCUUACAGAUUGCUUCUUUUAGGUUUGAUGAGCUAAUUUUUCGUAUAGAAUGUUGAAUAAAAGUAUUUUUUCUUAUUACUGAAAAGGUAUU
rnacentral:lncRNA from 1 species